UACGAAGGGGGCUAGCGUUGCUCGGAAUUACUGGGCGUAAAGGGCGCGUAGGCGGAUAGUUUAGUCAGAGGUGAAAGCCCAGGGCUCAACCCUGGAAUUGCCUUUGAUACUGGCUAUCUUGAGUUCGGGAGAGGUGAGUGGAACUCCGAGUGUAGAGGUGAAAUUCGUAGAUAUUGGGAAGAACACCGGUGGCGAAGGCGGCUCUCUGGACCGAGACUGACGCUGAGGCGCGAAAGCGUGGGGAGCAAACAGG
rnacentral:rRNA from 1 species